CGGGGCGUAGCGCAGUCCGGUUAGCGCACCUGGUUUGGGACCAGGGGGUCGGAGGUUCGAAUCCUCUCGCCCCGA
rnacentral:tRNA from 1 species